GCACCGACAACGGUCGCACCGUGGCCGACACCUAGCGAGUAUCGUUUACGGCUAGGACUACCCGGGUAUCUAAUCCGGUUCGUGCCCCUAGCUUUCGUCCCUUGCCGUCAGGUCCGUUCUGGUGAGACGCCUUCGCCACUGGUGGUCCUUCAAGGAUUACAAGAUUUCACCCCUACCCCUGAAGUACCUCUCACCUCUCCCGGCCUCGAGCCAGACAGUAUCUCCUGAAAGCCUGACAGUUAAGCUGCCAGAUUUCUCAAGAGACUUAUCCGGCCGGCUACAGACCCUUUAGACCCAAUAAUAACGGUUACCACUCGAGCCACCGGUGUUACCGCGGCGGCUGGCACCGGUCUUGCCCGGCCCUUGCUAUGAAAUGCUUUUUAGGCAUCUCGACAGCCAGAUUUGUAACCUGGCACUCGAGGUUCCCUUAUCGCUGUUGCCAGCAUUGUAAAGUUUUCGCGCCUGCUGCACCCCGUAGGGCCUGGAUUCGUGUCUCAGAAUCCAUCUCCGGGCUCUUGCCCUCACAACCCGUACCCGUCGUAGGCUAGUAGGUACGCUACACCCACUACUACCUGAUAGGCCGCAGACCCAUCCUUAGGCGCCGGAGCUUUAAAUCUCGAUGCAUUCCAGCAAUCGAGACCUAUCGGGUAUUAUACCCAGUUUCCCGGGUUUAUCCCCGUCC
rnacentral:rRNA from 1 species